GACAAGUUUUCCUCGCUGAGAAAACACCGCGCAGCGCCAGGACGUAGAAAGUGGCCCAGGAACAAGACGCAGGCGAUUCUCCUUGACAGUUGUGAUUCGAGUUUCAACAGGCUCUGGCAGGAUUCUAACAACCUCCUCGAGCCGUGAUCUCAGUGGGGAUGAAUGAUGGAGUGAUGGCGACGAGCGCCGAGAUCUGUGCCGCGUUUCUCACUCCGCUUGCUCCCGACAGGAAUCCAAUUUAUUCUGAUCCUUCGGAGGCGAAAAGGAGAAACCUCACCUCUGCCACAAACAGCCUCAACCGGCCACGAAAGAGAAGCCGCUCUUCAUAAAAGAUCCCGCACUAAGUCCUCCGGCGGCACGUGAAGCAGAGCGGCCGAGAAUCUGCCGCGCCGCGGUUCCAUGGGACGUUCCCACGUGAACCCCCCGACGAGCUGGCAGGCAGACGCGGGAAUAUGGAAGUGUGACUGCGGCAGACACGCACGUGUGCACACGUGACACAGAUGUGAACCAGCUUUAUGUUUACAUGAAGCUGGAAACGUUGCAGGUUGUGAUUCCUCCUCUGGGGUUGAGCUUCCGCCUCAAUGAUCCUCUGGGAUUAAGUCAUCGGAUCCCGUUUAUCUGCGGACGGCAAAUAUCCUGCGAAAGGUCCGCGAGCCAGCGAGCGGGAAUUACAGAUUCGCGAGCGACGAAGCAACCGUGACCUGCGCUCGCCACGUUCCCCCACUGAGCCGACGGUUCGAGAGGCCCUCAAGAUGCUGCGUGGGCAGAAAUGCAGCUCGCAACCUCCGGGGCCGUCAAAAACUUUAAAUUACUUCCUCUAGAAAUAUUACCGGCUCCAAGACUUUUUUUUUUUUGGGACCCAGUAAACAUCUGCAGACCGCUGCAGCGCUCAGCCUGUAUUUCUCCAUAUUGUUUUUCUAAGAAUUCUGCUAAGGAGGUCGGAUGAUGCCAGACGGCUCUGACGGUCCCAUUCUACAGCAUCAGCGAAUGGCUCACACACAGAGACAGUAACUGGGGUGUGGCUUCUCUCUUUGUUCUCCUGCUCUGUUGUCAAUUGUGAAUGUUCUUCAUUAAACAUAUUAAAGGUUCCACAAGACAUUCAUUGACCACUACCACCUUUCUACUGGCACAGCUUCCUAUGAAGUGACCCCACUUCUUCACGCUUCCCACGUAACAGGAGCACUUCCUGCCGUGCUCAGCGUGAAGCAUUAACCUCUACCUUUGCUCAUAGAGCGGGAGCUGAAAUAUUAAUGUGAACUGAUGGGGGAUGGCAGAUACGCCAACGAGCCCCAAAUGCUCUGCAUUGUCUCACCGUGACACUUGUGGCUUACAGGGGUUUAAGGGGUCAAUCGGAUGGUUAAACGCUGGGUUCCCUGAGAGACGAGGAGGACAGUUACGCCGGUGUCACCAACAGGAACAGUCUGCUACAACCCACUGUGGGCUUCACUGUCACGAUACGAGACCAGCUUCAGUAAAACCUGAAUCUAAUUAGCCUGGAUUUUUUUUUUUUUUUUGCUUUGAGAAGGAAAAUACUCAAUAUUCAAAAUCUAAGUACAUUCGGAUUGUUCAAAUUGAAGUCUAGUCAGCUUCACCUUCACCUGAUUAAAUAAAGGAAAGACAUGACGCACACACCCCACUUCAUAGAUUUAAAAUCUACAAAAAGACAUUAUCCUGUGUGGGACUAGAUCCAGUAUAAAUAAAUUGUUUGACCUUUGCUUUAGAGGGAAAACCCAUUUCCUCAGAGGGCAAAUCCCUGAAGAUUAGGGCCAAAUGUGAGAGAUUUGCUCAGCAUUUAAUGGUGUUUUCCAGUAAACACUGAUUCAAGUUGGGCGGCUGAGCGGUUUAGACAAAACGCAGAGUUCUCAAGCAGAGCG